GGUCCUGUGUAGCUCUGUUGGUUGAGCGUGGUGCUUGCAACGCCAGAGGUUGUGGGUUUGAUUCCUACAGGACCC